rnacentral:tRNA from 1 species
GUGGCUAUAGCUCAGUUGGUAGAGCCCCGGAUUGUGAUUCCGGUCGUCGAGGGUUCGAGUCCCUUUAGCCACCCCA